UUUCUAAAAACACACCCUAGGCUGUUGGCCCCACGCCCCCACGACUCCACAGCCGCGGCCCCAACUCGCCCCUGGAUGCUGAAUCAGUGGUUCGAGUCGCCGCCCCCUCUACCGGCCUCCACCUCCUCCGGUCGCAUCUCCGACAGCCUAGACGUCGCUUCUCCUCCGCCUCCGCCGGCUUCCAACCGCCAUACGCCAAGUCGGGUUUCGCCCCGAACGUUAGCAACCGCCGCCACUCCUGCUCAGCUGGGUCGCCGCCACAUCCGGAAGCAAGCUCUCUGCAAUCCGAGGAAGUCAUGACUUGCUGAAAAGCAGAAGAGGUUAAAUAUAAGAGCGAGCAAGGAUGAACUCUGGCAGGAAGUUUGGCGGUGGGCGCCCACCAACAGGAACUCCUUCCCUUGCAUUGUCUUCAGUUGUGAUUGCUCUCUCACUCCUCGCUGACUAUUCAACCCAUGGAGAGUGUGAAUAGUGGCAGUGACAACAACCAGAAGAGCUGAGUACAAACAUCACGUGCUGGAAGCUGAACAUGGGAACCCUGGUUUCAGAGGUUGAUUCUUUUUGUCUUUUAGUAUGUAUUGUUGAGAGAUGAUACUGAAAUUACAUACUUUGUUCAGACAGAAAGAUAGCAUGAGUCUGAAUUACUGUUUGUGCUUCUGAAUUUUGAUGGCUUCCCUCGUAUUUGUGGCAUGGAAAAGAAAGAUGUGAGAAGUUUUAAUGUU